AAGUGCUGGGAUUACAAGUGUGAGCCACCAUUUGUGGCCCUGUUCUGUGCUAUUUACUUCUUCAAGUUCCAUCAGAGCCAUUCUGACUUGUCAUGUUAUAUCCAUUUUUUUUCCACUAUAGAAAACCAGCAUAUUCCACCCCAAAGUAAGCCACUUUGACAUAAGGAUUCUUUUGAACUGAAGAUAUUUGUGAUUUACCAGAUGGCAGAAAGAAGCCUUUCUUGGAGCUUUCCUUCUCUAAUUAAAUGCUGAAACUUCUGAGAAAUGUGGAGUACCAUAAUCCAUCUUCCAGGGAAGUUUUAUGGCCAUGAAGAAGAUGGGAAAGACUGCCUUUCACCAUGUUUCCCAGGCUGGAAUCCAGCUCCUGAGCUCAAGUGAUCCACCUGCCUCGGCCUCCCAAAGUGCUGGGAAUCUAGUCAUGAGCCACCAGAUCAGGACUUGCUCUGUCACCUAGACUGCAAUGGUUCAAUCACAGCUCUCUGCGGCCUUGAACUCUUG
rnacentral:lncRNA from 1 species